CCUCCACGCGGCCCCGGCGGCGGCUCGAGCUUCCGGAGGCGGAGAGAGCGGCACGGGAAAAGAGAAGCAGCAAGAGGUCGGAGUGAUGCAAGGGGCAGUGAGCCAAGAAUUGAAGGCACAUCUGGAAGCUGACAAAGGGAAGAAAGGGGAUUCUCCCCUUGAAGCCUCCAGAAGAAAUUCAGCCCAGCCCGUACCUUGAUUUUAGAUUUUGACCUACAGAAAGGUAGAUGGAAGCAGAUUAUGAACAAGAACAGGAACAAGAAAUGUGAACUUUAACAUGUUUGAGGGAUAAGUCCUUAGAUGCUACUGAUUUUGGUGACCAGCCAGAUGAUCCACCAAAAACUGACUAGUAGGGCUUCCCUGGUGGCGCAGUGGUUGAGAAUCCGCCUGCCAAUGCAGGGGACACGGGUUCGAGCCCUGGUCUGGGAAGAUCCCACAUGCCGCGGAGCAGCUAGG